UAUAGUCAAGUAAUUAAGUGCAUGUGGUGGAUGCCUUGGCAGUCAGAGGCGAUGAAAGACGUGAUAGCCUGCGAAAAGCUCCGGGGAGGCGGCAAAUAUCCUUUGAUCCGGAGAUGUCUGAAUGGGGGAACCCACCUACUUUAA
rnacentral:rRNA from 1 species